rnacentral:rRNA from 1 species
UACGUAGGGGGCAAGCGUUGUCCGGAAUCAUUGGGCGUAAAGAGCGUGUAGGCGGCUCGAUAAGUCCGCUGUGAAAGUCCAGGGCUCAACCCUGGAAGGCCGGUGGAAACUGUCGGGCUAGAGUCCGGAAGAGGCGAGUGGAAUUCCCGGUGUAGCGGUGAAAUGCGCAGAUAUCGGGAGGAACACCAAUGGCGAAGGCAGCUCGCUGGGACGGUACUGACGCUGAGACGCGAAAGCGUGGGGAGCGAAAGGG